rnacentral:tRNA from 1 species
AAGGAAAUUAGGUUAAACAGACCAAGAACCUUCAAAGUUCUAAGUAAAUAAAUAAAUAUUUAUUUCCUG